rnacentral:rRNA from 1 species
AGGUGCGAUCGUACUAGUGUUAAUGCAUCAUAUCCUAUCAGAACUCUGUAGUUAAGUUUUCUUGGGCUAGAAUAGUACUGGGAUGGGUGACCUCCUGAGAAGUCCUAGUGUUGCACCCU